UCAAAGGGAGAAGGCUCCUGGGACUUGCGAUUUUAAUGGGGUGGCUGCAAUCACUACCACGAAUCCAAGUCAUAAUUAUUGUCUAUUUGGAAGUGGUGGCAACAAUGGAACCUUCGUAAACAACACAGCCCCGGCAUUGAAUUCUUCGAGCUCAGGUUCUUCUUCCCACUACCUCCAUGGCUGUGGUUCAACACGUGCAAUUAUUCUAGUUGGAGUCCUAUCAUUGUUUGCGGUUUUCCUAUGAUUCAUAUGUUAAUGGGUUGUUUGCCAGUAGGGAAUUUUAGCUAGAUGGCAGUUUUUAUUCAUUAUGUGCCCAUGGAGAACUUUGUCUCGAUGUACUGCUCUUGGCCAGUUU